ACCAAUAAGGAGAGAAAGAAAUAGUGACCAGAAAGAGAAAGAGAAAGAAAUAAUGACAAAGAAAUUUGUUUCUUUUCUUCUCUCUUCAUCUCUUUUUUCUUUUUGUUUUUUUCUUUUUUUUUCUUUU
rnacentral:ribozyme from 13 species